CCUACGGGACGCUGCAGUGGGGGAUAUUGGACAAUGGGGGGAACCCUGAUCCAGCGACGCCGCGUGAGUGAAGAAGUAUUUCGGUAUGUAACGCUCUGUCAGCAGGGAAGAAAGCAAUGACGGUACCUGACCACGAAGCCCUGGCUAACAACGUGCCCGCAGCCGCGGUAAUACGUAGGGGGCAAGCGUUAUCCGGAAUUACUGGGUGUAAAGGGAGCGUAGACGUCUGUGCAAGUCUGGAGUGAAAGGCGGGGGCCCAACCCCCGGACUGCUCUGGAAACUGUAUGGCUGGAGUGCAGGAGAGGUGAGCGGAAAUCCUAGUGUAGCGGUGAAAUGCGUAGAUAUUAGGAGGAACACCAGUGGCGAAGGCGGCUUACUGGACUGUAACGGACGUUGAGGCUCGAAAGCGUGGGGAGCAAACAGGAUUAGAGACCCGAGUAGUC
rnacentral:rRNA from 1 species